AAAGAACACAGAAGAUAUUUCCACUGCAAUACGUCUUGUCGUUUAUUACAUGUAUCAUAAAGUUCUAUUACAACAAAUAUCAUUAAUAUCCUGCAGUCUAUACUCAGAAGGUGGGUAGUGUUUUUCAAGCAAUUUGAUUGGUUGUUGAGCUCCGGAUACCUUGCAUUAUUAACCUCCACUUCCGUGAAUAAUUGUCAAAUAUUCCUGAAUCACAGGACAUCGCCGUCUCUAUUGUUCUUAAAAGAACUGGUCAUUUUUACGAGGCAUAAACCACGACAGCUUAUUAUACAGUAGACACUGGACAACCUACACUGGACAACCACGUUUGAGAUAUCUUUUUCACGUAGUUCAGACACAAACCACAGCAGCUUAUUGUAGAAUACUGAACCACAACGUUUGAGAUAUUUUCAGGUAUUGUUCAGACACAAACCACGACAGCUUAUUUCAGGACUGAAGUCGGGUGACGUUCAAAGUAAAUCUUAAACCAACGUCCUGGAAAAGAACACCAGGGAAAAUAACACCAAGUACUUUGAUAGUGGAGCUGCUAAUUUAUGAUGGCUGAUCGCCUAAUGCCAUGGGGUUACACACGACAGUGGCCUGGGAACUGUCCACGUCAUCCAGUUUGUGGUUACACACGACAGUGGCCUGGGAACUGUCCACGUCAUCCAGUUUGGGGUUACACACGACAGUGGCCUGGGAACUGUCCACGUCAUCCAGUUUGGGGUUACACACGACAGUGGCCUUGACGUCAUCCAGCUGAUGAUAAAUCUCGUCGUCUUUCGAUUUGACUUUUGGAUACGCGUAGGGAGGCUCAGUUAUCUAGAUUAGAAAUUUCAGAUUGGGUUGUUGAUAUAGAACAGUAUAGUGAUAUGGUGUGGUAUAUGAUAUGAUAUGGCAUGUAUAUGUGAUAUGAUGUGAUAUAGUGUGGUAUGGUAUGAUAUGGUAUGGCAUGUGGUAUGAUGUGAUAUACAUGUAGUGUGGUAUGGUCUGAUAUGAUAUACGGUAUGUGAUAUGAUGUGAUACAGUUAUGAUGUGAUAUGGUGUGGUAUAUAUAUGAUAUGAUAUGGUAUGAUACGAUGUGGUAUGAUGAGGUGUGGUAUGUGUUAUGGUGUGGUAUGAUGUGUUAUGGCAUGGUAUGGUAUGAUGAGCUGUUGUAUGAUGUGGCACUGUAUAUUAUAGUAUGGUGUGGUAUGAUGUGUUAUGUACUAUUUAAAACACGAGUAGGAGUGUUUUAUCAGAUAUAAAACGGAGGCGCAGCCGAGCGUUUUAUAUCUGAUAAAAC